GGGAGAGGUCGAGGCAAUGGACACACUACCAGCAUAUACACGUGCCUGCCCAAUGCCACAGUGAUGAGAGAGAACACGUGCGUUCAUGCCGAAGUCACGUGGUGAAUGACAGGUGGUGAUGGACAGGUCGACAAGGUGACGGGGUGGAAUGAGAGGAGGGACGCCUCAUAGCACAUCUGUCUUUCUGCCAGCUGAGGGCGCUACAGCACAUGGUCCGUGUGAGGAGGAGCCAUACGCUGUUCUGCAGCCGCAGACUGGAGGAUGGGGUAAAAUAUGAUCAGGACAUUUCAUGAGAUUCCCUCGUUGGUCAAUAGGAGUUUUCUGAAAUGUGUUUUAGGCAAUUAAGUUCAGUGAUUGUGGUCAAAUCAGUCAGCCAGCAGCUAAUGACACAGGGAGCAGGCCUACCCAGAAUGCUGUGCAAGUGUACAAGUGUACCAAAGAAGAAAGAGAGAAGAGACAGAAGAAAAAAACACUGAAAAAGGGGAGAAAAAUGCAGAACAGAGAGACAGAAAAGAAGAGGCAUUCAUAGAGAAGGAUGCAAUGUGGCAUCGUCAGCAAGACAGAGCUGGCAAACACUCCCAUCUCUCCACCCCCCGCUUCUGUCCAAUCAGACAGCGCGAAUCAGACAGCGCCUCCAACAGGCAGGGAGGACAAAGCACUGAGAGGAGCAGAGCGGCCUCAGGGGGAGGAGGGGUUACAUUAACGCUUUUCUAAGGGAGAACAGAGUCGUCCGGUUUCACUCUAAUCUCCUUAUAGCACUGAGAGGAGGGACUGGCUAUCAGCACGGAUUCAUCAGUUUCAUUUCAGAUCACUAAUCAGAUUAAUUAACAGGUUAAUGAAGCAUGAGAAAAAGGUGCUCAGAGUUUUCUCAAAGAAAAAUAAGGGGAGGAAAAAACAAACAAUCCAAACACAAUGCUGGGACAAAAGUCAUGCCUUUAUAUCAAAUCAGAUGCGGUAUGAAGAGAAAACUCCAACCAAAUCAAACCCAGUCAGUGCUGAAAUGGAUGUGUAUAGCAAAACAGGGGGUAUAUCUCCGGCACAACUGCUGUCAAUCAUAAAUGACCUUCAAUAAAGCCUUUUGAUCAGAGAGCCCAAAUCUUAAAAUCAAGUUAUUAAAAAAAUCAACUCAUGGACUUGUAGUCUUGUAGUCAAUGUUCAAGCAUAUUUAUGUAGCUCUAUAUUCUCAGAAGAUGGAGGACAUGUUUUCAUAACUUUUUUCUAAUAAACAGUAACAGAUAAAACCACUACCACUCAAAAGUUUGGGGUCAGUAUGUUUUUUUUUUUUAAGUAAUACUUUAACAAUUCAACAAGGAUACAUUAAAUUGGUCAAAAGUGACAGUAAAGACAUUUGAAAAAGUUACAAAAGAUUUCUAUUUCAAAUAAAUGCUGUUUUUUUGAUUGUUCCAUUUUUAAAUUGUUAAAAUUUAAUUGUUAAUUGUUAAGAUUGUUCCUUUAAAGCAUCAUGAAAAAAAGAUCAAAAAUAUUAAGCAGCCCAUCUGUUUCCAACAUUGAUAUUAAUGAGAAAUAUUUCUUGAGUACCAAACCAAACUUUUGAACAGUAGUGUGCCUGUAAAUAAAAACAUAGUAGCAAAUAUAAAAUGCUGUCUGAGUUACAUUAAUUACAGAUAUAAAAAGAUGCAUUUUUAACGGCAAGCGUAAUGCACAGAUGCAAUAUUUUGGCUAUCAGAUUUAAGCAACAUUAAUAAAAUUAAUAGGUUAAAUAAUUUCAGGUUAAACCCAUCCAAUCUACCAGAUAUUUAUCAAGUUUCACAUUUAAAACCACAUUUGAAAGUGGCUCAAAUUAGAAGUGAAAAAUGUUGACCUCAUAUGCGUUUUUGCUGUUUACACACAUAAAACAAGGUUGUAACACAUCUAAAUUGGUUGACAAUAUAUAUGAAGAAAAGUGAAUACUAAACUAUGAAAGUGGAUGUAAAACAUUGAAAUUAAUACCAAUAUAGAGGGGGAAAAAACUGUUUUGUGAGUAUAAUCUGGGCUCUUCUGUCAAAAUGAGUUAGAAGGUUUAUGAAUUGAUUCAACAGUGAAGAAACAUUUUUCAGCAUUUAUUGAAUUAAGGGCAACACUGAUAAGACUGACCAUCCAUCUUAAUGAAACUGAUUGUCAAAACAAUUUAUCAGUCUAUAUUGAUUGUGAAGCCAGAAUAUAUCACCCUGAGAGCUAUACAAGGUCAUUCA